GGAGCAGAGAUGGGGCGGAGCUAAGGUGCUGUGGUUGCAGGGAUUAUCGUUGAAGAACCACGGAGCCCGCCAGGGGCGGAAUCUGAGAGUCUUCAUUUCUAAAACUUCCAGGUGAUACUGAGGAACACCGAGAGGCAAGGAGUGACUGAUGCAAAGCGAAAGCGUCCAGAAGGAGGCUGUUAGUUGUUGAGAGGAUUAGCCUGAGGAUAUCAGUCAUUCCUGAGUUCUGAGCAAAGAGAAAAACAAGACCUAUAGCUCUUGCUCAAGGCACAGUUGCGUGGCAUCAGAAAUCUAAACAGGCCGUUGCAUAAUCAGUUCCCUGGCAGAACCUAAGUAUGGGAUGCCAGAGACGGUUUGCUGGAGAAGGUAGCCCUCUGACAGGUCUGUGCAAGGAACACUGUCAGCAUUACUCAUCAACUUUGGAGAAGAUGUUAAUCAGGCUCCACAUGAGAGGUUUCAGCUUAACUGGCAAAGCUUCAGGACUUCUAAAAGGCAGGCAUUACUCUGAUACCCCUGUUGUCAUGGAGUACAACUCAGUGUUCAGGGUUUUCUUUAUGCUUGAGUCUACUCAUGAAAAUGUCAAUACCCAAAACUUGAUUUCAAGGUCAUGACCUCAGGGUGUAGAGGAACAUAGUACUUGAUGCAGAAAUUAUGGAGACGUCCAGUGUGCAAAAAAGAAUGGAUGAGUACUGUAAAGGAUCUUGGGUUUUUCAGAAGGAACUAACAAUGGUGAAUACAAUUUAACUUGAAAAAUUGAAGGGCACAUGCAAAGAGCAGAAAAGGAAAUUACAUUUGUAGUUUAGAACUUUCAGAAAAACAGCUCAUAAUCUAGAAAGAAGCUGACAAGUCAAUGGUCAAUUGAAGGAAUAGGUACAGAAAAGCAGUAGUAGCCAAGUCUUUGGGGGAGCAAAGCAGUUUUCCCAGAGGAAGUGAUGUCUGAGCUGAGACCAGAGGAUGAAGAUCAGCCAGGAAGAUGGGAACUGUGUGGCGAAGGGAGUUGGAGACCUUCCAUGUUGUGAUCCGGGUGGGCUUACCUGGAUCACAUAGGUAAACAUUCCUUGAGCUACAAACUUGAGAUAUGUGC
rnacentral:lncRNA from 1 species